UACGUAGGCAGCGAGCGUUGUUCGGAGUUACUGGGCGUAAAGAGUGCGUAGGCGGUUUUCUAAGUUUGGUGUGAAAUCUCCCGGCUUAACUGGGAGGGUGCGCCGAAGACUGGAAGGCUUGAAUAUGGAAGAGGGUCGCGGAAUUCCCGGUGUAGAGGUGAAAUUCGUAGAUAUCGGGAGGAACACCAGUGGCGAAGGCGGCGACCUGGGCCAAUAUUGACGCUGAGGUGCGAAAGCGUGGGGAGCAAACAGG
rnacentral:rRNA from 1 species